rnacentral:rRNA from 1 species
AGGCUAAAUACUCCUGACUGACCGAUAGUGAACCAGUACCGUGAGGGAAAGGCGAAAAGAACCCCGGCGAGGGGAGUGAAAAAGAACCUGAAACCGUGUACGUACAAGCAGUGGGAGCACGCUUAGGCGUGUGACUGCGUACCUUUUGUAUAAUGGGUCAGCGACUUAUAUUCUGUAGCAAGGUUAACCGAAUAGGGGAGCCGAAGGGAAACCGAGUCUUAACUGGGCGUUAAGUUGCAGGGUAUAGACCCGAAACCCGGUGAUCUAGCCAUGGGCAGGUUGAAGGUUGGGUAACACUAACUGGAGGACCGAACCGACUAAUGUUGAAAAAUUAGCGGAUGACUUGUGGCUGGGGGUGAAAGGCCAAUCAAACCGGGAGAUAGCUGGUUCUCCCCGAAAGCUAUUUAGGUAGCGCCUCGUGAAUUCAUCUCCGGGGGUAGAGCACUGUUUCGGCAAGGGGGUCAUCCCGACUUACCAACCCGAUGCAAACUGCGAAUACCGGAGAAUGUUAUCACGGGAGACACACGGCGGGUGCUAACGUCCGUCGUGAAGAGGGAAACAACCCAGACCGCCAGCUAAGGUCCCAAAGUCAUGGUUAAGUGGGAAACGAUGUGGGAAGGCCCAGACAGCCAGGAUGUUGGCUUAGAAGCAGCCAUCAUUUAAAGAAAGCGUAAUAGCUCACUGGUCGAGUCGGCCUGCGCGGAAGAUGUAACGGGGCUAAACCAUGCACCGAAGCUGCGGCAGCGACGCUUAUGCGUUGUUGGGUAGGGGAGCGUUCUGUAAGCCUGCGAAGGUGUGCUGUGAGGCAUGCUGGAGGUAUCAGAAGUGCGAAUGCUGACAUAAGUAACGAUAAAGCGGGUGAAAAGCCCGCUCGCCGGAAGACCAAGGGUUCCUGUCCAACGUUAAUCGGGGCAGGGUGAGUCGACCCCUAAGGCGAGGCCGAAAGGCGUAGUCGAUGGGAAACAGGUUAAUAUUCCUGUACUUGGUGUUACUGCGAAGGGGGGACGGAGAAGGCUAUGUUGGCCGGGCGACGGUUGUCCCGGUUUAAGCGUGUAGGCUGGUUUUCCAGGCAAAUCCGGAAAAUCAAGGCUGAGGCGUGAUGACGAGGCACUACGGUGCUGAAGCAACAAAUGCCCUGCUUCCAGGAAAAGCCUCUAAGCAUCAGGUAACAUCAAAUCGUACCCCAAACCGACACAGGUGGUCAGGUAGAGAAUACCAAGGCGCUUGAGAGAACUCGGGUGAAGGAACUAGGCAAAAUGGUGCCGUAACUUCGGGAGAAGGCACGCUGAUAUGUAGGUGAAGUCCCUUGCGGAUGGAGCUGAAAUCAGUCGAAGAUACCAGCUGGCUGCAACUGUUUAUUAAAAACACAGCACUGUGCAAACACGAAAGUGGACGUAUACGGUGUGACGCCUGCCCGGUGCCGGAAGGUUAAUUGAUGGGGUCAGCGCAAGCGAAGCUCUUGAUCGAAGCCCCGGUAAACGGCGGCCGUAACUAUAACGGUCCUAAGGUAGCGAAAUUCCUUGUCGGGUAAGUUCCGACCUGCACGAAUGGCGUAAUGAUGGCCAGGCUGUCUCCACCCGAGACUCAGUGAAAUUGAACUCGCUGUGAAGAUGCAGUGUACCCGCGGCAAGACGGAAAGACCCCGUGAACCUUUACUAUAGCUUGACACUGAACAUUGAGCCUUGAUGUGUAGGAUAGGUGGGAGGCUUUGAAGUGUGGACGCCAGUCUGCAUGGAGCCGGCCUUGAAAUACCACCCUUUAAUGUUUGAUGUUCUAACGUGGACCCGUGAUCCGGGUUGCGGACAGUGUCUGGUGGGUAGUUUGACUGGGGCGGUCUCCUCCUAAAGAGUAACGGAGGAGCACGAAGGUUGGCUAAUCCUGGUCGGACAUCAGGAGGUUAGUGCAAUGGCAUAAGCCAGCUUGACUGCGAGCGUGACGGCGCGAGCAGGUGCGAAAGCAGGUCAUAGUGAUCCGGUGGUUCUGAAUGGAAGGGCCAUCGCUCAACGGAUAAAAGGUACUCCGGGGAUAACAGGCUGAUACCGCCCAAGAGUUCAUAUCGACGGCGGUGUUUGGCACCUCGAUGUCGGCUCAUCACAUCCUGGGGCUGAAGUAGGUCCCAAGGGUAUGGCUGUUCGCCAUUUAAAGUGGUACGCGAGCUGGGUUUAGAACGUCGUGAGACAGUUCGGUCCCUAUCUGCCGUGGGCGCUGGAGAACUGAGGGGGGCUGCUCCUAGUACGAGAGGACCGGAGUGGACGCAUCACUGGUGUUCGGGUUGUCAUGCCAAUGGCACUGCCCGGUAGCUAAAUGCGGAAGAGAUAAGUGCUGAAAGCAUCUAAGCACGAAACUUGCCCCGAGAUGAGUUCUCCCUGACCCUUUAAGGGUCCUGAAGGAACGUUGAAGACGACGACGUUGAUAGGCCGGGUGUGUAAGCGCAGCGAUGCGUUGAGCUAACCGGUACUAAUGAACCGUGAGGCUUAACCUUACAACGCCGAAG